rnacentral:rRNA from 2 species
GAGACCCGUGCCCACUGUUACCAGCAUGUCCUCCGGGACGAUGGGUACUCUGUGGGGACCGCCGAUGUUAAAUCGGAGGAAGGUGCGGGCCACGGUAGGUCAGUAUGCCCCGAAUCUCCCGGGCUACACGCGGGCUACAAUGGAUGGGACAAUGGGUCCCUACCCCGAAAGGGGCUGGUAAUCUCACAAACCCAUUCGUAGUUCGGAUCGAGGGCUGUAACUCGCCCUCGUGAAGCUGGAAUCCGUAGUAAUCGCGUUUCAAUAUAGCGCGGUGAAUAC